CAGUCGCCACGGUAAUACGUAGGGUGCAAGCGUUAAUCGGGAUUACUGGGCGUAAAGCGUGCGCAGGCGGCUAUGCAAGACAGAUGUGAAAUCCCCGGGCUCAACCUGGGAACUGCAUUUGUGACUGCAUGGCUAGAGUACGGUAGAGGGGGAUGGAAUUCCGCGUGUAGCAGUGAAAUGCGUAGAUAUGCGGAGGAACACCGAUGGCGAAGGCAAUCCCCUGGACCUGUACUGACGCUCAUGCACGAAAGCGUGGGGAGCAAACAGGAUUAGAUACCCCAGUAGUCCCUGUCUCUUAUAC
rnacentral:rRNA from 1 species